rnacentral:rRNA from 1 species
UACGUAGGGUGCAAGCGUUAAUCGGAAUUACUGGGCGUAAAGCGUGCGCAGGCGGUGUUGUAAGACAGUUGUGAAAUCCCCGGGCUCAACCUGGGAAUUGCAUUUGUGACUGCACGGCUAGAGUGUGUCAGAGGGGGGUAGAAUUCCACGUGUAGCAGUGAAAUGCGUAGAGAUGUGGAGGAAUACCGAUGGCGAAGGCAGCCCCCUGGGAUAACACUGACGCUCAUGCACGAAAGCGUGGGGAGCAAACAGG